AGGAUAGAGGCCUACCAUGGUGGUGACGGGUGACGGAGAAUUAGGGUUCGAUUCCGGAGAGGGAGCCUGAGAAACGGCUACCACAUCCAAGGAUGGCAGCAGGCGCGCAAAUUACCCAAUCCCGACACGGGGAGGUAGUGACAAUAAAUAACAAUACGGGGUUCUUUAGGAUCUCGUAAUUGGAAUGAGUACAAUUUAAAUCUCUUAACGAGGAACAAUUGGAGGGCAAGUCUGGUGCCAGCAGCCGCGGUAAUUCCAGCUCCAAUAGCGUAUAUUAAAGUUGUUGCAGUUAAAAAGCUCGUAGUUGAAUUUCGGGGUUAGUAGGUUGGUCAUGCCUCUGGUAUGUACUGGUCUCACUGAUUCCUCCUUCCUUAUGAACCGUAAUGCCAUUAAUUUGGUGUUGCGGGGAAUUUGGACUGUUACUUUGAAAAAAUUAGAGUGUUUAAAGCAAGCUAACGCUUGAAUACAUUAGCAUGGAAUAAUGAAAUAGGACGUUCGAUCUUAUUUUGUUGGUUUCUAGGAUUGACGUAAUGAUUAAUAGGGAUAGUUGGGGGCAUUAGUAUUCAAUUGUCAGAGGUGAAAUUCUUGGAUUUAUUGGAGACUAACUACUGCGAAAGCAUUUGCCAAGGAUGUUUUCAUUAACCAAGAACGAAAGUUAGGGGAUCGAAGACGAUCAGAUACCGUCGUAGUCUUAACCAUAAACUAUGCCGACUAGGGAUCGGAUG
rnacentral:rRNA from 1 species